rnacentral:rRNA from 1 species
GGUCUGUGCCAUACCACCCUGAAUGUGCCCUAUCUCGUCUGAUCCCAGAAGCUAAGCAGGGUCAGCCCUGAUUAUUACUUGAACAGGAGAGGGUUGAGCCUAAAGUAUUACGAGAAAGAAUACAGGAAAGGAUCU